rnacentral:misc_RNA from 1 species
GAUGAAGAACGCAGUGAAAUGCGAUACGUAAUGUGAAUUGCAGAAUUCAGUGAAUCAUCGAAUCUUUGAACGCAUAUUGCGCUCUCUGGUAUUCCGGAGAGCAUGCUUGUUUGAGUAUCAGUAGACACCUCAACUUCCAUAUCUUUUUUGAAAUGGGAGUUGGACUUGAGUGAUCCCAACGCUUUUCCUCACCGAAAAGUGGCGGGUUACUUGAAAUGCAGGUGCAGCUGGACUUUUCUCUGAGCUAUAAGCAUAUCUAUUUAGUCUGCCUAAAAAACAGAUUAUUACCUUUGCUGCAGCUAACAUAAAGGAGAUUAGUUCUUGUGCUGACUGAUGCAGGAUUCACAAAGACAGGCUUCGGCCGACUUUGUAAACUCGAUCUCAAAUCAAGUAAGACUACCCGCUGAACUUAAGCAUAUCAAUAAGCGGAGGA